rnacentral:rRNA from 1 species
GAUGAACGCUAGCUACAGGCUUAACACAUGCAAGUCGAGGGACCGGCGCACGGGUGAGUAACAGGUAUCCAACCGGCCCUUUACUCUGGGAUAGCCUUUAGAAAGAAAGAUUAAUACCCGAUAUAAUGGAUGGGGAUGCGUACCAUUAGGUUGUUGGUGAGGUAUCGGCCAACAAAGCCUUCGAUGGAUAGGGGUGGUGAGAGGAAGGUCCCCCAGCACGGAGCUGAGGCAAGGUCCAAAAUCCUACGGGAGGCAGCAGUGAUGAGGAUUGGUGAAUAGGCGUUAGCCGGAAACAGCCACGUAGCGGGAAGGAUGAAGGCUUAUGGGUCGUCAACUUCUUUUAUAUAAGAAUAUGUAUUAUAUGAAUAAGGAUCGGCUAACUACGUGCCAGCAGCCGCGGUAAUUC